GCCACACAGAGUAGGGUACUUGCUAUGGAGACCAAAUGGCCCCCCGCCUGAAAUACUGGCUGCCCGGCCCUUUGCAGAAGUCGAUUGCUGACUCCCGUGUCAAACUUAUGGCAGAACUGGAAUGACUUCAACCCUGUAAAGAUGCCACAUAUAAGUGAUAUCGUAUGAUGUCUAACUUUGAGAAAGAGACUCAGAAUUUUGAGCCAGAAGAAAUAGGGAGAACACACGGAGCCCCACGGAGAUGGGGUCAGAUCCUCCCCUUCUUUCAUCCGAAGGCUCUGGAGCCGCUGAACCCGCCCCUGCUCACCUUGAUCCCACAGUGCGCAGGCGCCCUCCAACCCGCCACUCCGGGCCAUCCGCCACAACUGUGUGGCGCGAAGAGGUGGCCACACUGCCCUCUUGCCGGAAGCCCUCCUGGGGUUCCCAACAGUCCAUGGUAGGUCUUAACUCCGCCUCCAAGGGUCCUGGAUUCCCUGGCGGACCGUGUAAGCUACAAAGAUGGUGUAUGAGAUUUUGUUGAGGGGGCAGAUUUAUGGAUCCUCCUCCCUGUGCCCUCAUUUCAACUGGAAAAACCCAGCAUUUGCCUUGUUUGUAUAUUGUAUUUUAUUUUAAAAAGGAUUCUGUUUUUUAAAAAAUAGCCUGCAAACCACACACGGAUAGAGUGGAAUCUUCCGGCAAAGGUCCUGUGGGCCUAGUGUGGUAAAGGGUUAGGGCUCAGCCAGGGGUGUUCUGUGCUGCCUCCCGUUUGUUUCCCAGGCUCCCUUGCAGGGAGUGGGGCUAUGUGACAAGUCCCUGACCAUGACCUGAGAGUAGAAGUGACUCCUGUCAUUCCUGGGCUGAGGUAGCUAAGAGCCAGUGUAUCUCCUCCAUCUAUUUUCUCUACCUUGGUGACCCCAGAGGCCACUUGUUCAGGAUGUUGUAGCUACAAGAUGUCAGGUCAUGCAUUAGACUAGAUCCCUGAAUGACCGAAACGAAGGUUCUCUUUCACCCUGACCUACUUUAGACAGGUGAAUUAAGUGAAAAGCAAACUUAUAGCAGGGGAAAUCUCCAGAAUUUUGAGCUCUAUUUAUUAUUAGAGGAUAACAGUCCUAUCCUGGCAAAUGCAUCUGGCCUUUGUAAAUAUAUCAUUUGUAGUUGGUAUGUUGAUGUACUAGGUGGUUGAUUAAUUGAUUCGCUCAUUCAUUCAACAAUAGAUGUACUUGAGUAGCCGCUGAAUAUAUAGAAUGCCAGACAGCAUAAUAUCCAUAUAUAUAUGCUAUAGCUCAAGGGGUUCACAGUUGGGUCACUUUCUUUCUGGAACUUUCACAAGCCACACAACCCCAUAUAGCCCCUAAAUCUCAGUCAUUCUGAACCAUUCGUAUAUGGUCGAACUCACUGAAGCAUUUCCUGCUCUGUGCCCUUUCCUGCAGUGCUUCUCUUGCCUGUGGACUGGGAACUCCCGGGAUCUGCACAGCUGAUACCAUAACCCAGCUAGAUCAUACUAUAACAUUUCCUAUUGUUCACAGAUCUGUUAAAUCCUUAUGGAAGAAAGUAAGUGGAAAGCCUAGUCGAGUCUACGUGGCCUCAGUGAAGUUGGACAGUGGGUCACAUGAUCCAAGGAGAGUGAAAACGUGUGCUGUUCAUUGCGAUGCUUCCUUUCAUGAUGCUCACCAUCCAGACACUAAGAAACACACCUGGAGCCCUUCUGCUGGCUAUGAUGGGCACGCUCUCCAUCCACUCUCAUGUCUUACAGCCACUGGCCACAUGUGGCUACUGAGCUGUGAAGACGAGGCUGAUGUGACUGAGGAACUAAAUUUUGAACUGAAAUCACUUUUAGUUAAUUGAAAUUUAAACAGCCACAAGUGGCUAAUUGCCACUUUUUUAACCUAUGUGGCUCUAGAAGAUACUUAGAUCUGCUUCUCCGAUGUUUUAGUUACUAUAGCCUAAAUAUAAUAUUAAAAAAAAAAACAAAAAACAAAACCGCAAUGACUGUCAAUGCAGUUGUUGCCAGAUAAGUGCUAGGGCUUAACUGUCCCCACCAAUGCUUCCUUCAGGAUUCUUUUAGCCCUUCUCUUCAAUUAAAUACAGCUCUGGCCUCUAAUCAAGACUACUGGACCAAAAGCCACAGUUGCCAGAGUCAAGAGAUCCCUUCAGCCUCAAUGUGAGGCUGUCUUCCAACACAGCAAAGGAAUAAAUUCAGUAGUAACAUUGAAAAUUUUCAAAUAAAGGUAUUUUAAAAAUAUUUAUGAAUUCUUUCAACAAUGACAAAAAAUAUUAGAAGCCCAAUAUAAGGGAGGCAGUAUUAUUCUAGGCAUUUGGGAGGCGACAGCGAGCAAAUUAGAAAAGGAUCCUUGACUUUCUCAAGAUUACAUUUUAGUUGAGAUAUCCAGUCAAUAAAUAUAAAUAAAUAGAAUACAUGAGUAGCAUUAGAAGCACUACUUUGAAAGAAGUGGCACAGGAUAAGGAAACAGUGAUAUUUGAGCAAAGAUUGAAAGAUAGGGAAAGAGACAAUGAUGUCUGGGGAGGGUCUGAGCUAGAGAUGGUAGAGUGGCGUCUGCCCAGCAGAACUUGGAUGAGGGGUAGAGUGCCUCCAUGGACUGCAUCUUCCUAGAUUGAUGGCACUUUUAUACUGAAUAACUUUAACCUUCCCCCUUUUAUCUCCUGGCAAAGAGUACAAGGGAGCAUAACAAACACAUGGCACCCUCUUGGCUCCCAUGGGUCUAGUCAGCGCCACACCUUAAGAAUGGGGGAACGUUCUAGACAUUAUUUCCUCCUGGAUCAUGAGAUGAUGGCUCUGAAUGAUUUCCAAGGGCACCUUCCAAGGAAUGUUACGGCUACUGGAACCAAGGGCCAGUGAGCGUUAUUGUCUCUGUCGUGGGGGCUGGAAGUCCCAGAUGGAGAUGUCAGCGGGGUCAGUCCCUUCCGAGGGCUGUGAGGGACAGUCUGCUCCCUACCUCUCCCCUGGCUUCUCUGGAGUUGCAGGCAAUCUCUGGUGAUCAUAGGCUUGCCCCAGCCCCACCUCCAUCCUCACAUGGCAUUCUCCUCGUGCCUCUGCCAACCCUUCCUUUUUUAUUAGGACACAGUCACAUCGGAGAAGAGCCCACUUUCCUCCAGUGUGACCUCCUUCUAGCUCAACUUACUGCAUCUGCAAAGUCUCUAUUUCCAAAUACGUCCUACCUUCUCAGGUGCUAGGGGUUGGUACUUGAACAUAUGAAUUUGAGGGGAACUCAACUCACCUAUAACACAAGCUAAAGACGAUGAACCUGAAAGACUGCCCCUGGCUAUACCUGCUCCAUAUUCUUCAUCCAGCUGGGAGCCACUCGACAGGUGUUUCUCCCAAAUCACUUCCUUCUCUACCCACAGGUGGUCAUUACAAGAGUGCCUUAUGGAAGAGCUUCAAAAAUCAUGCCGACAUGAAAGACACUGAUAUUAUCGCAAUUUUUAAUGUAAAAGAGAAAAAAAAGUCUCAUUUGGAUCUCUUUUCUUCUAGAAAUGGAUGUCUAUUUUCAAAAUAUUGCACUGGCAGCUUCAGCAGAAGCAAUCUAUCGCCCGCAAAGGGGGAGCUGAGCCAACAAAUGCAUGCAGAUAUCAAUACAAGUCUGGGAUUCUACAUAAGCAGAGGGAGAGCUGACAGGGAGCUGGGCAGCCUGCCACCCAGGCGCUCUCUUAUAAAGAGUGUUCCGUUUCCCUUACAAAAUAAGAAGGGGCUGUGCUUGAUAUUCACAGAAGUUGGGGCAGAAGAACUAUCUAGUUCAUUCUUUUUUAAAAUGUGUUUCAUUUCUUAGCUUUCUUUUGUUGGGAUACUUUCUUUUUCAUAUAUAAAUUUUAUUGGAGCAUAGUUAACUUACAAAGUGGUUAUAAGUUAGUUUCAGGUAUAUGGCAAAGUAGAUCAGUUAUACAUACAUAUAAUAUAUAUCCAUUCCUUUUCAGAUUUUUUUCCCCUUAUAUGUUAUUACAAAGCAUUGAUUAGUCCUUCUUACCUGUCCUUCGCAUACACGGUAGUGGAGUAACUUGCCCUUGGCAUGGAUCCAGCUAGAGAAAUAACAAUUCUGUAGUUUUCAGAAUUGAUCAAGGCAGUGUGUUCUUAUGCUAAAAUGGGGAAGGUUGUGUUUUUACUUCUACUUUAUAGAUCAAUAAACAGAAAGCCUAAGUGACUUAUUCAAGGCCACACAGCUUUUAAAUGGCAGAGGUGGGGUUAGAAAUCAUUCCUUCAGAGGGUUGAAAAAUUCAUAUUCUUUCCAUCGGCUCCAGCCUUGAAAACCCGGUUUGAAAUAUGAAAGUCAGAUGGAACAAAGACACUCCAAGAUCAAUACAUUUCUAAUUAAGAAAGGCACACACACAAAAAAACAACUCAGAAACUUCCUAAAGACAUAAAGAUUUUUAAAACCAUCCACCUGCGUGAAAGUUUUGAUUAUAGGAUUAGGAACACCAAAGGGCAUUUGACAGUUGACUAAGUGUUUUCACACUUAAGAUCUCAUUUAAUCCUCAGAAGUUUAUGGGAUGGUUUCUUAUUUUAUAACAAGGAACUCAAAGCCCAAGAUGGUAAAAGACGGAGUUCACGUGUCACUGACAAGGUGUGGUUUAGUAGAGCUCAAACUUGUAUUAAAGCAAAGACAAAUAUGAAGUCCCCUAAUCUACCCAUAUCCUUUCCCAUUUGUUUACAUUGAUCCUGGCCCUUGAAUGAAGCAGGCAGGCCAAUGAAAAACACUUAUAACCACAUAUCAUGGCUCUUUGCUGUGCAGCUGGCCCUCUCGUGACCCUUCCUCACCAUUGCUUUGGGACUCUGCUCCUGGUGACCCUGAAGGCUUUUCUAGAACUGGUCUUGCCUGGGGCGCUAUGGGGUGCAGAAUGCAGGAUACUGGGGGGGGGGAACCCUCUUCUCUGCCGUCGCUGCCUUGCUCCAUUUUUCUCCAAUCCCUUGGCUUUGGUUAAGGGACAGUCUCUCUCCCCAUAUCCCCACCCCCGGCCACCCGAGCAGCCCACACCAGCUCACAUGGCUGCCUUUUCAACCCUCUGCCUCCCACGUGGUGGGAGCACAGGCAGGGCUGGGUCGUCUGGAGGCUGGGUGCUCACACUCUUCUCUUCCUUGUUGGGCUAAGUAUGGAUGAUGUUUCCCCUCAGGGCUCAGAUCCACACCUUGAAAAGCCCAUAAACACGACUCAAAGCGAAGGAGGGAGAAGGGCACUUAGUGUGUCCUCGUCCUUCAGGAGGGGUACCCUUCUAAGGCUGGCCUAAGUGACCUCUGAGUGUCCACGCUUCUGUUUUUUCCUUGAGUUUGUGGACACUUAAAGGGCAGGAGCGCAGCCCCCGCCUCAUGUUUGGAUGUUCAGCAUCUAACACUAAUAGACAUUUGGGGUUUUUUUUUGUGUGUGUGUCUUUUUUUGUCUUUUGAGGGCUGCACCUGUGGCAUAUGGAGGCUCCCAGGCAAGGGGUCUAAUCAGGACUGUAGCUGCCAGCCUACACCGCAACCACAGCAACGCCAGAUCCGAGCUGCAUCUGCGACCUAUACCUCAGCUCACCAGAUCCUUAACCCACUGAGCGAGAACAGGGAUUGAACCCGAAACCUCAUGGUUCCUAGUCGGAUUCGUUGCUGCUGCAACAUGACAGGAACUCCAGGGGAUUUUUUUUUAAAGAGGAGAUACGUGAAUGGAUCUAUAACUGAGUGGGUAGAUUCUGUGAUGUGGCCUGUGGAGCAUGUGCUGUAGGAAAUCUCUUGAGGUGGAAAGCAAGGUGAAAUAUACCAGCUGGUGUAGAGCACAGAGAAAUGUUCUAGAAGUUGGAAGAUGGGGCUUGUUGUGCGAGGUCUGGAGGACCUAUGGGCUAAAUCCAUCCUAGAAUUUACUAGCAGGGAAAAAUGCUUUCUCUCCCAGGAAGCAAUUAUUGUACUUUUUCUUUGUCAAGGUAAUAAAAAUUUUUACAUCCA
rnacentral:lncRNA from 9 species